rnacentral:rRNA from 1 species
GAUGAACGCUAGCUCCAGGCUUAACACAUGCAAGUCGAGGGGAAACGGCAUUAAGUGCUUGCACUUUUUGGACGUCGACCGGCGCACGGGUGAGUAACGCGUAUCCAACCUUCCCAUGACUAAGGGAUAACCUGCCGAAAGGCAGACUAAUACCUUAUGGUCUUCACUGACGGCAUCAGAUGUGAAGUAAAGAUUUAUCGGUUAUGGAUGGGGAUGCGUCUGAUUAGCUUGUUGGCGGGGUAACGGCCCACCAAGGCAACGAUCAGUAGGGGUUCUGAGAGGAAGGUCCCCCACAUUGGAACUGAGACACGGUCCAAACUCCUACGGGAGGCAGCAGUGAGGAAUAUUGGUCAAUGGGCGAGAGCCUGAACCAGCCAAGUAGCGUGCAGGAUGACGGCCCUAUGGGUUGUAAACUGCUUUUGUAUGGGGAUAAAGUCAAUCACGUGUGAUUGUUUGCAGGUACCAUACGAAUAAGGACCGGCUAAUUCCGUG